GACGAACGCUGGCGGCGUGCUUAACACAUGCAAGUCGAACGGACAGGCCCUGCUUUUGUGGGUUGCUCGAGUGGCGAACGGGUGAGUAACACGUGAGUAACCUGCCCUUGACUUUGGGAUAACUUCAGGAAACUGGGGCUAAUACCGGAUAGGAGCUCCUGCUGCAUGGUGGGGGUUGGAAAGUUUCGGCGGUUGGGCAUGGACUCGCGGCUUAUCAGCUUGUUGGUGAGGUAGUGGAUUACCAAGGCGUUGACGGGUAGCCGACCUGAGAGGGUGACAGGGCACAUUGGGAUUGGGAAGGGGGCCAGACGCAUACGGGAGGAAGCAGUGAGAGAUAGUGCAAAAUGGGCGGAAGGCGGAAGCAGCAACGCCGCGUGGGGGAUGACGGCCUUCGGGGUGUAAACAGCUUUCGCCUGUGACGAAGCGUGAGUGACGGUAAUGGGUAAAGAAGCACCGGCUAACUACGUG
rnacentral:rRNA from 1 species